rnacentral:lncRNA from 1 species
CCAGUGGGUGGAAGGGAACCAGACGCCCUACCCCCACUCUUGGGAACCUGUGAUGAUGGGGCAAGUAAGCUCCGGGGUGGAGAGUAGAUCUACUUCACAGCCUUGGAUUUAUUUGAAAACUGGAAAUCACGGUGCUGAUGUAACCAGGGGAACGCAUCCAGUGUCCCAGGGGCUGGCCUCUCAUCCGUGAGUCUACACAACCAACUAAAGAUGUAAACUCCUUGAAGAAACUGGAAUAGAUCAGGACUCCUGUCUCCAGUCCCACACUGCCCUCACUGGAUUUUGUAUGAGAAAUCAGCUCUCCUGGGUCAUCGAGGAACACCAAGUCUCCCUCUUCCAUCAUGUGACUCUGAAGAAUCCAUUAUUGUCCCUUAAACCAAGAAGCCCCAGAGUAUCCAAAUGUCAAGAGUGGAACAAAACAGAAGCAAUAAUCUGGGGGUGGAGGUUGGUAUGACAAAUUGCCACAGCUGAGCUUUGAAAUAUGUCUGAACCUAAUUCAGACCCUGGCUUUAGUUUGCUAGUUGGGUGUUCACGGGUAACUGUUACUUUUUCCCUUAGUUCUGGUUGUCCAUUUGAAGAAGACAGUGGUGGCAUUUGCUGUUCAGUGGUGUUGUGAAGGUUAG